CCCCUCACUGGACGAAGUAACUCCUUCUUCUUGUAGUCUAAGUCUCAUGACUUUUGAAGUAAUCUGCCACCUAUCUUGUGGGAGAGCCAUCCAAAUGAGAAACCACAAAUAAUUGGUUCUUGGUAGAGAUUCAUUAUUUCUCCACUUUGUUCUUUAGGAGAUUUUAGGUGUUGAUUUUCUGUUUUAUUUUAACUCAUACCUUUAAAGGAAUUCCCCAAAGAAUGUUUAUAGCAAACUUGGAAUGUGUAACCUGAGCUCUGGGAGAGGAUUUUUUUCUGAGCGAUUAUUAUCUAAAGUGUGUUGUUGCUUUAGGGUCACGGCACGCUUGCGUAUGUCUGUUACCAUGUCACUGUGGUCCGAUGCCGAGUGCCCUUAGGGGACUUGAAUCUUUCCAAUAAACCACGUUUGAGAUAGCAUGAGUCAAUGUGCAGUGUAGCCACACUUGAGAGGAUGAAUGUAUGUGCACUGUCACUUUGCUCUGGGUGGAAGUACAUUAUUGUUGACUUAUUUUCUCUGUGUUUGUUCCUACAGCCCCAUUUUCGUAUGUUGCUCAAUCUCCCUUUCCCUUUUUGGUGCUUACACAUCUCAGAACCGUUAGCCAAACCCUUGCCAGUGACAGUAUUUUGGUUCUCAGUUCUCACUGUUCCUGUGGAGCCUUUGAAUAUAAACACACAGCUGAGGCAGGAGAAUCACGUGAACCCGGGACGCAGAGGUUGCAGAUCGCGUCAUUGCACCCUAGCCCAGGCCACAGUGCAAGACUCCAUCUCAAGGAAAAAAUAAAAAAAAAAGGACAUAGCUAUGGAGUGGGGUUUAGCUUGAAAAGGUGACCUUGCAAUUUCACGUCAACUUCUGGUUCCUCAAACAGUAGGUCAGCAGUAAGGCAGGGCCCCCUUUCUCACUGAGAAGAUUGUGAAUAUUUCCAUAUGGAUUUUCUAUUACUAAUGUUACUCUGAUUCUUUGUUUUAAAAUAAAAAUUCUGAAUGUACAUGAAAUUAUGGGCUUAUUACUUUUUGUCCUUCCUGUGACCACAAAAUCAGCUUUAAAUCCUGACUUGGCUACUCAGUGCCUGUUGUGACUUGUAUGAGACCCUUAUACUCAUAUGAGACUCUGUUCUUAGAGUCUUAUACGUAAGAGAAGAGCCGUAUGUGUUUAUUAUGUAGAUUAAAUGAAAAAACUUUCGUGCAUUGCUUUUCAUACUUGAUAAAUUAUUUGUUUUGUUCCCACUGAUAACUAGUUUUUU
rnacentral:lncRNA from 1 species